AUUGAACGCUGGCGGCAUGCUUUACACAUGCAAGUCGGACGGCAGCACAGAGAAGCUUGCUUCUUGGGUGGCGAGUGGCGAACGGGUGAGUAACAUAUCGGAACGUACCGAGCAGUGGGGGAUAACUAAUCGAAAGAUUAGCUAAUACCGCAUAUUUUCUGAGGAAGAAAGCAGGGGACCUUUGGGCCUUGCGCUGUUUGAGCGGCCGAUAUCUGAUUAGCUAGUUGGUGGGGUAAAGGCCCACCAAGGCGACGAUCAGUAGCGGGUCUGAGAGGAUGAUCCGCCACACUGGGACUGAGACACGGCCCAGACUCCUACGGGAGGCAGCAGUGGGGAAUUUUGGACAAUGGGCGCAAGCCUGAUCCAGCCAUGCCGCGUGUCUGAAGAAGGCCUUCGGGUUGUAAAGGACUUUUGUCAGGGAAGAAAAGGGCGGGGUUAAUACCCCUGUCUGAUGACGGUACCUGAAGAAUAAGCACCGGCUAACUACGUG
rnacentral:rRNA from 1 species